UUUUAAAUCUAUCUGUACUGGCUGAUUUAGAUACAACCGAGAAUUGGCAAUUCCCUUGCAAAAUUUCACAGGACGAGAAGUUUCUACUGGACUGCAAAAUUUAUUUGAACCAUCACUGCCAUUUUAGCUUAUUGACACACCAUUAAAGAAUCCUAUGCAGUAUUACAAUGGGAAAGUGAGUAUAAAUAUUAAAAACCAGCAGAAUUGUCGGAGAGCUGUUUGCACAAGGUCAGUUCAUGUGCAGUCCUCGCCAAUGUCAACAGCAUCAACAGGCUGGACAAAUAUCCUCCAAACACAAAUUUAGUUUACAACAGGA
rnacentral:misc_RNA from 1 species